GACGAACGCUGGCGGCGCGCCUAACACAUGCAAGUCGAACGGAGCUGUUUUCUCUGAAGUUUUCGGAUGGAAGAGAGUUCAGCUUAGUGGCGAACGGGUGAGUAACACGUGAGCAACCUGCCUUUCAGUGGGGGACAACAUUUGGAAACGAAUGCUAAUACCGCAUAAGACCACAGUGUCGCAUGGCACAGGGGUCAAAGGAUUUAUCCGCUGAAAGAUGGGCUCGCGUCCGAUUAGCUAGAUGGUGAGGUAACGGCCCACCAUGGCGACGAUCGGUAGCCGGACUGAGAGGUUGAACGGGCCACAUUGGGACUGAGACACGGCCCAGACUCCUACGGGAGGCAGCAGUGGGGAAUAUUGCACAAUGGGGGAAACCCUGGAUGCAGCGACGCCGCGUGGAGGAAGAAGGGUCUUCGGGAUUGGUAAACUCCUGUCCCAGGGGACGAUAAUGACGGGUACCCUGGGAGGAAGCACCGGGCUAACUACGUGGCAGCCG
rnacentral:rRNA from 1 species